rnacentral:misc_RNA from 1 species
AAGUCGUAACAAGGUUUCCGUAGGUGAACCUGCGGAAGGAUCAUUAGUGGAAAGUUUACUUUACACUUUAAACCAACAUUGUGAACCAUUAGCCAGGUAUGUUCUCUAGUCAGGUCUGAAAAGAGAUGACAAGAGCCGGGAUUGCAGGUCGCAGAAGUUAUUCUUCGCAAGAAGAGUAGUCAGACGUAGCUUCAGUGGGGGGUAGGAAUCUUAAUCUCUUAAAUGGGAGCGGUGAACUAUCUAUUCAACUCAUUGGACUCCUGUGGUUUGAGGGUGUGCUAUCGUUAGUUGGUCUUCGGACUAGCUCUAGUAUAGUACCGGUAUAUCGUACGUUAAUAAAUAAACCCGUGAGUGACGCAUGCUAGUUUUUAUUAUUGCCUAAGUCAACUCAUUAGUAAUAAUGAAAAGACAACCUUUAACAAUGGAUCUCUUGGCUCCU